AUGUAUAAAAUAAUCACAUGUGA
rnacentral:siRNA from 1 species